UCCUGGCUCAGGAUGAACGCUAGCGGCAGGCUUAACACAUGCAAGUCGAGGGGUAUAGUUCUUCGGAAUUAGAGACCGGCGCACGGGUGCGUAAGCGUAUGCAAUCACCUUUCACAGAGGGAUAGCCCAGAGAAAUUGGAUUAAUACCUCAUAGUAUAGCAGUUUCGCAUGAACCACUAUUAAAGUCACAACGGUGAAAGAUGAGCAUGCGUCCCAUUAGCUAGUUGGUAAGGUAACGGCUUACCAAGGCAACGAUGGGUAGGGGUCCUGAGAGGGAGAUCCCCCACACUGGUACUGAGACACGGACCAGACUCCUACGGGAGGCAGCAGUGAGGAAUAUUGGACAAUGGGCGCAAGCCUGAUCCAGCCAUGCCGCGUGCAGGAUGACGGUCCUAUAGAUUGUAAACUGCUUUUAUACAGGAAGAAACACUACUUCGUGAAGUAGCUUGACGGUACUGUAAGAAUAAGGAUCGGCUAACUCCGUG
rnacentral:rRNA from 1 species